rnacentral:misc_RNA from 1 species
GAUGAAGAACGUAGCGAAACGCGAUAAGUAAUGUGAAUUGCAGAAUCCAGUGAAUCAUCGAAUCUUUGAACGCACAUUGCGCCCGCCAGCAUUCUGGCGGGCAUGCCUGUCCGAGCGUCAUCUCAACCCUCGAGCCCCCCCGGGGGCUCGGCGUUGGGGACCGGCCCCGCCCCAGGGCGCGCCGCCCCCCAAAUCCAGUGGCGGUCCCGCCGCAGCCUCCCCUGCGCAGUAGCUUGCACACUCGCACCGGAGAGCGGCGCGGCCACGCCGUAAAACCCCCCGACCACGGAGCCCCGGCUCCUGAACGUUGACCUCGGAUCAGGUAGGAAUACCCGCUGAACUUAAGCAUAUCAAUAAGCGGAGGA